AGCAAUGGGCUGUCUGACUUCACAUGGCGCCGCGUGGAGGAGAAAAAAAUGGAAGGUAAAAUCGAUGGAGAGCAGGAGGAUGCAGUAAAUUACACAAGUGAAAGAAGAGGGAGUGAGAGAGGGAGAGUGAUGGACAGAGGAGAGGAAGAUGUGGGCAGCCAAGUGGCACCUUUGACCUUUGGUUGACUGGACGAGCCAGAGUUACCACAAGAGCCCUGAUGAGCGCUGGGAGCUCUGUGGCAGCAGUCCAACUCUCCGUGCGUCCCUGGGUCUGUGGCGCGCCUCCUCCUCCUCUACUCUAUUGAACAACCCCGCUUCGAGCGACUGGGAUCCGACCGGUGCGUUAAGGUUGUCACCGAUACUGUAGCUCCUAUAGGAAGGAUGGGACCACGUGCACCCGCCACGGGCACGCGCACACAGACAAAGAGAGGUGGCACAUGUGCACAGACGUGGACCAACACAAAUAAUAUUGGACCAGAGCCUCUUCUGUGCUGCAGCAGACUGGACCACAGAUGACCCUCCUCUGUUGCCGUAUAUUGUUGGAUUACUGUUUUGGGACCAGCUGCUCUGCUCCAAACCAGCCUCAAUCGACCCUCUUGUCUGCAUCAGCACAAAGUAAGUCCACAGACCCAGAGGUGGGAAGACAAACACUAUACUCACUAAUACCUUUCGGCAGAAGAAAAAUAUAGCUCAGCUAAUUAGAAAGUAAACACUUCUGAUGUACUGACGAACUAUUUGGACAUCUGUGUGACGUUCAAAUCCCAAAGAAUAGCCCAUACAUUUUGAAAAAUAAUUUGUUUCUCAGUGUAAGCUCCA